UCACAGCUUACGCUGGCAGUUUCUUUAGAGUUCCACCAAUUAAGGUAUGGCAACUAAAGAUAGGGGUUGCGCUCGUUAUGGGACUUAACCCGACACCUCACGGCACGAGCUGACGACAGCCAUGCAGCACCUAGACAAAUGUUCUUGCGAAAAGCCUCUUUUCAGAGACGGUCAUUUGUCUUUCAAGCCCAGGUAAGGUUCCUCGCGUACCAUCGAAUU
rnacentral:misc_RNA from 1 species